rnacentral:piRNA from 1 species
CGCCAAAGGAUAGAACCGUCAGGGGCC